ensembl:antisense Gm26954 predicted gene, 26954
AAUACACAGAAAUGUGGUGGCCAUGAUGCUUCCUGAAGCAAUGAUUGUGAGAUUGUGAGAGCUGCCAAAUCAUGCACUGUUCGAGAUACAGCUAAUGAAGACAAGAUCUGUGCCACUCAGUGACUCUUCAUGCAAAACUCAUGUUUAAUGGAAAAGAAAUGUUAAAUGAUUCUACUCAUAGAGAAUUGCUUUAAAUACUCUUGGGAUAUCUCAAAUCCAUUAUAUAUUGCAACAGAGUACAGUGUUUUGUAUAUAUGAAACAAGAAUGUUAAAUCUUUUUGACUACAGUGAUACAGACCAUAUGAAACAUUAUGAGUAUCUCCUAAAUUUCAGAAGGUAGUUUCAAAGAAAUAACUCUUAAUGAAUGAAUUGGAGUCAUAAGUGUCUGUUAAGUGAAUAAAUAUUUGGGAUAGAGGAAUUAUAAUUAUCAGCCUGUCCACCUAUCUGACAUGAGCCUAGCAUAACUGUCCUCUGAGAUACCCCUUACCCAGCAGCUGACUGAAACAGAUGCAGAGACCCACACCAAACAUUGGAUGGAGGUCACAGAGUCUCAUGGAAGAGUUUGGGGGAAGGGCUGAAAGCCCUGAUGGAUAUAGAACUCCACAGGAAGAUCAGGAGGAUCAACUAACUUGGACCCUUGGGAUCUUUCAGAGAUUGAGCCACCAACCAAACACCGGCUGGAUGAGGCCCCCCAGAACAUACGUAACAGAUGUACAGCUCAAUCUCCCUGUGGGUCUCUCAACACCUGGAACAACAGUGGCUG